rfam:Lactobacillus selangorensis strain DSM 13344 Scaffold2, whole genome shotgun sequence.
AGAUCCUUUAACAUUAGUCCCGUGAGGCUAGUAAGGUGAAUUGGUCCGGUGGCAGCAGUCUAGCCAUAAACGGAUCACUCACAAUUCGCUUGCCGCAUGGUAAGCGAAUUUUUUUGU